UACGUAGGGGGCUAGCGUUGUCCGGAAUCAUUGGGCGUAAAGCGCGUGUAGGCGGCCCGGUAAGUCCGCUGUGAAAGUCGGGGGCUCAACCCUCGGAUGCCGGUGGAUACUGUCGGGCUAGAGUACGGAAGAGGCGAGUGGAAUUCCUGGUGUAGCGGUGAAAUGCGCAGAUAUCAGGAGGAACACCGGUGGCGAAGGCGCCACUCUGGGCCGGUACUGACGCUGAGGAGCGAAAGCGUGGGUAGCAAACAGG
rnacentral:rRNA from 1 species